rnacentral:rRNA from 1 species
GACGUAGGUGGCAAGCGUUGUCCGGAGUUAUUGGGCGUAAAGCGCGCGCAGGCGGUUCGGUAAGUCCAUGGUGAAAGCGCCCGGCUCAACUGGGCGAGUGCCGUGGGGACUGCCGAGCUGGAGGGGAGCAGAGGCGAGUGGAAUUCCGGGUGUAGUGGUGAAAUGCGUAGAGAGUCCGGAGGAACACCAGUGGCGAAGGCGGCUCGC